AAGGAAAAGAUGAAUGAUUUUUGAAUAGAACAGAAAAACAACAGAUCCUCCCCCCCAAUUUCCACCUUUGAAUGCAUCAUUACAAGUUUACAACUGAUCAUGGAUGCCAAAGAUUCCACCACCGCCUCCUCCACCGCCGCUCCCUCCUCCACCACCGCUCCUCCACAGUACCGUCGACCUCCUCGCCUUGCCGAGGAUACGAACGACGUUAAACCGUCGAAUCAGCCACCUAUUGCUGCUCAAAAGCCGGAACCCUUGUCUGAACCGAAACAGAAAAAGGAACAAGAAAGGAAAUCCGCCAUUGCGAUUCCCUCUAAGGACCCUGAUGCCCUGGACAGUGGUGGUGGAAUCAGCUUUUUGGGUGGAAGCAAAACUGCAAGACUUAACUAUGGCUAUGCCAGUUUCAAGGGUAAAAGGGCAUCAAUGGAGGAUUUUUUCGAAACAACAGUAUCAGAAGUUGAUGGGCAGAUGGUUGGCUUUUUUGGUGUUUUCGAUGGUCAUGGUGGUUCAAGAACAGCAGAAUAUCUUAAGAACAACCUUUUCAGGAAUUUAAGUGGUCAUCCAGGUUUUAUGAAAGACACAAAGACAGCUAUAGUUGAAGCAUUUAGACGGACAGAUGCUGAUUACCUUAGUGGAGAAAAUCCUCAGCAAAGAGAUGCUGGUUCUACUGCAUCGACUGCGGUAAUGCUUGGGGACCGACUUCUGGUAGCAAAUGUAGGAGAUUCCAGAGUUGUUGCUUGCAGGGCAGGGUCAGCUAUCCCUUUAUCGAUUGAUCACAAGCCCGACAGAACUGAUGAACGGGAGCGUAUCGAACAGGCUGGGGGUUUCAUCAUUUGGGCUGGAACAUGGCGGGUUGGCGGGGUUCUUGCUGUUUCUCGUGCUUUUGGAGACAAAUUACUCAAGCCUUAUGUUGUAGCUGAACCAGAAAUUCAGGAGGAAGAAAUUGACGGUGUGGAGUUUAUAAUCAUUGCAAGUGAUGGGCUCUGGAAUGUACUGUCAAAUAAGGAUGCGGUGGGUAUUGUGCAGGAAAUAACAGACGCAGAAGCUGCAUGUAGGAAACUUGUGCAAGAAUCGUAUGCAAGGGGCAGUUCCGACAACAUUACUUGCAUUGUUGUACGGUUUGAGAACCGUUGAUACCUCUAAAUCUAAUGUUGUUUUCCAAAUCCAUAGGUAAUGGUGGUGGUUGAUCUAAUAGUGAUAACCAAAUUGACUUUGGGUUACCUGUUGUUGCUUCCAAUUUUUAGAGUGAUAUGUCAAGAGUUGAUUGAUGGAUGGGAAAGAGACAUGCAUUUUGAAGACAGGUGAUCUGUAAAGUUACUAGUAACAAAAUAAAGGUGGAGGGUAAAUGGGAAAAGCCUACGCAUAUUUCAGGAUAUGAUUUUUUUCUUAUCUUCUAUAUUGGUUUCGUUUGUUCUUCACGGCAACGACUCUUGCCAUGGUUAGAACUUACCAGGUUAAUUGUUGCAUACGAUACCGUUUUGAUAGACUAAAAUCUCACCUGAUAAGUAAUUGACAAUGUUGAA